rnacentral:misc_RNA from 1 species
CAAUGAGUGUUUUGGUUGUGGACUCAGGUCUGCAGUUGAUUCUUUGCGAGUCUUCUAUGUCUUACAAACUCUAUUAGUAUGUUUUAGAAUGUCUUUUAUUGGGACUUCAUUGGCCCUUUAAACUUUAUA